AGUCGUACGUACAGCUCACCCUUUUUAAGCCCCUCUUAUCCUCCAAACCAAACACACGCCUAACUCCUCCUAACGAUAACUCCAUAACUGCUCACCGGAAACCACCAUGUCCACCGCAACUACCGCCGCCGCCGCCGGAAACUAUCUCACAACUCCUACGCUCGACGCCGAAUCCUCAAACCUCCUCCAAACAAUCUCAUCCCACGGCGGCUAUGCCUACGUCAGCAUGUCAACACUCGCCGCCUCCGGCGACUUCAGAGCGGCGGAGGCAGCGAGAGAGAUGGCGUGGGAGCAACUCCACUCCGGUCCCUGGCACUCCGUGCUUCCAGCCUGGCGUGAUGCCUACUCAAUGGCUUGCUUACACGUGGCAAAGUUUCAUUAUCGAAAUGGUGAAUUCAAAGAGUCGCUUAGGGUUUUGGAUUUGGGAUUGAUCAUGGGAGGUGUGCUGUUGAAGAAGGAUUUGGAAUCGGCUAUUGAAAUUGUGACAGCGAAAUCGAGAGAAAAGGAAAGUGAGGGUUUUGAGAAAGGACCAAAGUGUAAAUUUGUUGAAGAAGGGGAUGAGUUUGAUAAAGAGGAGGUGCUUCGUGUUUUACCAGAGAAGUCCUUGUCUAGUAAGAUUGUGGUGAAGAAAUCUGGUCUAUCUUUAGAGGGAUUUUUGCGUGAACAUUUUCUAUCUGGGUCUCCAGUUAUAAUUAGUGAUUGUAUGGCUCAUUGGCCUGCCAGGACAAAAUGGAAUGAUAUGGAUUACUUGAAAAGGGUUGCUGGUGACCGCACAGUUCCAGUUGAGGUUGGGAAAAACUAUCUAUGCCAAGAGUGGAAGCAAGAGCUUAUAACAUUUUCUGAGUUUCUUGAGAAGAUUCAGUCCAAUGACUCUUCUUCUGCAGUCCCUACAUAUCUUGCACAGCAUCAAUUAUUUGAUCAGAUUAAUGAGUUACGGAAAGACAUUUGCAUUCCUGACUACUGCUGUGCUGGUGGUGGGGAGCUUAGGUCUCUUAAUGCUUGGUUUGGUCCAGCUGGGACAGUGACCCCACUGCACCAUGAUCCGCACCAUAAUAUACUUGCUCAGGUUGUUGGCAAAAAGUAUGUAAGGCUCUACACCUCUUCAGUGUCAGAGGAACUUUAUCCAUACAAUGAGACUAUGCUUUGCAAUUCAAGCCAGGUCGACCUAGACAACAUAGAUGACGGACAAUAUCCGAAGGUGCAUGACCUAGAAUUCUUGGACUGCAUAUUAGAGGAAGGAGAAAUGCUUUACAUCCCGCCAAAAUGGUGGCACUAUGUCCGAUCUCUAACAAUCAGUUUUUCAGUUAGCUUUUGGUGGAGCAACUCUGAAAGUUCGGAUGCAUCGUGACUGCGUACUGCUUUCAUGCUUGAGAUUUGUUCUUUUUUAUCGAUAGAACUGGGGAUUGCUUGUAUUUGUACGCGUUGAAUUGGUUUAUCAACUAUUUGAUCACAGGAAGAAAUCUCGUACCGGUUGCCUUGAGUGUUGAAACAUUCGAUCUACUGGAAAAGGGCAGUACCUUUGAACACACUGAAGAGGUACCUGCUCUAUGCAUCGAGAAAGCAGACCUUCUUCAACCUUGAAAUGAACACAAAAGACCUCGUUUUAGCACUUGCCCUGUUGUUGCCUUGGCAUUACAGCCUCAUUACAUAAACCAUGAGGCAGCUGAACUACACGUUAAUGCCGAAUAUCCGUAUAAUACAUGCAACAAAACAUGUCAAUCAAACCAAAAAUAGAGACCUUGCUGUUCUACAGAGCCAAUGAGCCACGAGGCCUUGUUGUACUAGGGAGCCAAUGAGCCAUGUGAAUAUUGUUGAAAGAAAGUAAGAAACUUGGAUGGUUAACCCGGUCUAACUUAGCUGGUUGAUCUGAUAAAACCGCGACCUAGUGGGUUUUAAGUUGGAUUAGAAAAAGAUAUUGGCUUGUUGGGUUUGACUUGUUGGGUUGAUUUGUAUCUGGUUAGAUCUGAUCCAAACUUGGUUGGGUUAAGUCCAAAGAAAUUAAUAAUAAUAAUAAAAAAGUCAAAAAUAUUAUGUUAACGAAAA